rnacentral:lncRNA from 1 species
GCUACUGGCAUGUUUGCAAAAUAGCACAAGGUGCUGUAAAAUGAAGAUAUAUUGUUAAAUAUCAUGAGAUAGAAAUAAAAGAUGAAGAUCUAGCUGUACCCGUCCCGAGCCACACUACUGCAGCCACGUUGCUGCUGGCAUUUUUGCAAAAUAGCACAAGGUCACAACAAUUGAUGUAACAAAUAUAACCAAUGGACCAGGCACCUGCACCAUGAUUCUUUGGAAUACUAAAAUUCGUCUCUUUAUGUCUGUACUUCUCAUAAUGAAAAAUGUCACGUUUUUAUGAAAGAAAUAAUGGAAUCAAAUAAUAAAUAAAACAAGCAUAUGCUAG